AAUGCAGCCAAACCCAAAGGUCACAUCAUCACUACAGUGUUGUGAUCUUGUCUGGUUUGCAAACAGAAAACUGAUCCUUGUCGCCUUUCUCUGACGCUGACGUGCCUUUGAAAGUGAAAUCAAGGUUCAACAAAU